rnacentral:lncRNA from 1 species
CUCCCAAAACCCAUCACUUUUACAUCUUCCCUAAAUUUCAAAUGGACAUUGAAUUGAUCGAGUUCCAUUUGCUCUUUUAACUGUAACAUCUCGUCGUUUUACGGGAAGUUUAUUUAUACGUUGUUCACCUCCUCUAUCACAACCAACUCUUACAUAACGAUCUUUUUUUGACUUUUUGAUGACUAUUGCGAAUCCAAGCGGCGAAGCAACUUCACGUAUGCAAGAUAGGAGCUUUUCACGUUCUGAGUAACGCGUUGUUGAUAUAGACAUAAAUUCAUUUUCUCCAAAAUAUGGUGCAUUAUCUUCCUGCCCAGACAUCGUAUUGUAACCUGCUAAAUAUUGCACAUUUUCAGUUCGAAAUCAUAUAUCAUCAAGCUAGUAACUUACAAGUUAUAGUUAGUAAAAUCAUACAAAUUAGAUUUAAAUCAAACACAAUUCAAAAGGAAGGAAAAACACACAAUACCUUCGUUAUUAGAGUUGCUAGAAGGUCCUGAAUCAGAGAAGUGUGUGAGAAAUUCUGAAAGAUUCUCAACAUUAUUUGAUUUGAUCAGAUCAAUUAGUUGAUUUAAUCCAGCAAUUCUCCAUCA